rnacentral:rRNA from 1 species
CAAGCGUUAUCCGGAUUUAUUGGGCGUAAAGCGAGCGCAGGCGGUUUUUUAAGUCUGAUGUGAAAGCCCUCGGCUUAACCGAGGAAGUGCAUCGGAAACUGGGAAACUUGAGUACAGAAGAGGACAGUGGAACUCCAUGUGUAGCGGUGAAAUGCGUAGAUAUAUGGAAGAACACCAGUGGCGAAGGCGGCUGUCUGGUCUGUAACUGACGCUGAGGCUCGAAAGCA